rnacentral:rRNA from 1 species
UACGUAGGGGGCAAGCGUUGUCCGGAUUUAUUGGGCGUAAAGAGCGUGUAGGCGGCCAGAUAGGUCCGUUGUGAAAACUCGAGGCUCAACCUCGGGACGCCGAUGGAAACCAUUUGGCUAGAGUCCGGAAGAGGAGAGUGGAAUUCCUGGUGUAGCGGUGAAAUGCGCAGAUAUCAGGAAGAACACCCGUGGCUAAGGCGGCUCUCUAGUACGGUACUGACGCUGAGACGCGAAAGCGUGGGGAGCGAACAGG